rnacentral:rRNA from 1 species
GAUCCUGGCUCAGAGCGAACGCUGGCGGCAGGCUUAACACAUGCAAGUCGAGCGGGCCCUUCGGGGUCAGCGGCGGACGGGUGAGUAACGCGUGGGAACGUGCCUUCUGGUUCGGAAUAACCCUGGGAAACUAGGGCUAAUACCGGAUACGCCCUUUUGGGGAAAGGUUUACUGCCGGAAGAUCGGCCCGCGUCUGAUUAGCUAGUUGGUGGGGUAACGGCCUACCAAGGCGACGAUCAGUAGCUGGUCUGAGAGGAUGAU